AUCGCUUCUCAGCCUUUUGGCUAAGAUCAAGUGUAGUGUCUGUUCUAUCAGUUUAAUAAUGAAAACAAGAAAUCCAAAACCAAGGGUUGGUUACGUCUAAGGGCUGGUGAAGAAGAAUCUUUUCCAUACCUUUCUCCUCUAGCUUCUAGUGGUUUUCUGGCAACAUUUGGUAUUCCUUGAUGUGUAGAAGAAUCACC
ensembl:snRNA U2 U2 spliceosomal RNA